UAUAAGGACCAAAAUGCAAAUAUGCCGAUUGGAUAAGGUUUCCCAAUCUCAUCUCUUGUGCGUGCGUGGUGGGCUGAUGGCCAUUCAGAGACCAUCGCCAUUGUUGACUACUUAGGGACAAUGCUCGCCGGCGUCUUGCCGCAUUCUCCUGCCACCGCUGCUGCGAGACUGAAGUCGUUCAGGAGGACGCCGAUGCGCCGUGUGCCGGCUAUGCGCCCUUGCCUGUAGGGGACGCGUACAACUACGUGGUGGAUGUGCGCCGUGGCCGGGCUGCGCGCCGGCUGUGCGCCGAGUGGUGGAGGACGCCAUCGUCGCCAAAUGCCGAGAAGCAUGUCCAUUGAUUCCUGCCAUGGAAGGGUUGUGGUUGAUCGAAUCGGCAGCGAUUGAAAUUCUCCUAUGCUGAAGCCGUGCGUGCUGGAUGGAGUCGACAUCGCGAGUACAGGGGCAGACGUUGGUGCCGCCGUGACUAAUGUCGCCAUCCGCGCCAAGACUCGAUGUUGCAGUCCAGCGUGCGAGAUAACGCCGGUAACAUUGGGAAUCGCGCGAGGCGUCGAGGAGGUCUGGCCUAAUCGCUGUUAGGGCAAGGUGUUGAUAACGUGUAAAGAUGAAAAAGAGAGAGAGAAACGAAUGGAUUGAACAGUGAUUGCAUUGACCGAAGAAUAGGAUAUUUAUA